UUUCCGUAGGUGAACCUGCGGAAGGAUCAUUACUGAAUAAACAGUGUGGGUUGUUGCUGGCCUUCUGGCAUGUGCACGCCUGCCAUAUGUUUCAUUCCCUUCUUUCCACCUGUGCACUAUGUGUAGGCUAUGUAUGCUGUAUUGUCAGGCCCUUCAUAAGGCUUGGUUUAGAGAGGAUGCUUGUCUUUAUGAGACAGGCUCAUCUUGGGCGUACAGGUCUAUGUUUUACACCAACACCAAAUGAAUGUCUUAGAAUGUAUUUUUUCAGGCUCUUGCUAGCCUUUAAACCAUAUACAACUUUCAACAACGGAUCUCUUGGCUCUC
rnacentral:misc_RNA from 1 species